rnacentral:rRNA from 1 species
GAUGAACGCUGGCGGCGUGCCUAAUACAUGCAAGUCGAGCGAACGGACGAGAAGCUUGCUUCUCUGAUGUUAGCGGCGGACGGGUGAGUAACACGUGGAUAACCUACCUAUAAGACUGGGAUAACUUCGGGAAACCGGAGCUAAUACCGGAUGAUAUUUUGAACCGCAUGGUUCAAAAGUGAAAGACGGUCUUGCUGUCACUUAUAGAUGGAUCCGCGCUGCAUUAGCUAGUUGGUAAGGUACGGCUUACCAAGGCAACGAUGCAUAGCCGACCUGAGAGGGUGAUCGGCCACACUGGAACUGAGACACGGUCCAGACUCCUACGGGAGGCAGCAGUAGGGAAUCUUCCGCAAUGGGCGAAAGCCUGACGGAGCAACGCCGCGUGAGUGAUGAAGGUCUUCGGAUCGUAAAACUCUGUUAUUAGGGAAGAACAUAUGUGUAAGUAACUGUGCACAUCUUGACGGUACCUAAUCAGAAAGCCACAGCUAACUACGUG